CUGCCAUCCUACUGAGGAAAAAGACAUCAUUCUAAUGUACUGUAAUAAAUUCUGAUCAUGAAAUCAGCCCAUUAGGAAGCACCUCUUGGAGAUCAUGGAUAACAUGCUAGGAAAAUGCAUCCUUUUUUAGUGGGCUUAUCAAAAAUAGUGAUGACGUACAUCUUGCCAAACCUAUUGCAACCUCCCCUUAGCACUGUAGUGCCAAAUUGUCAUAGUGAGGAAAACAUAUAUGUGUGCACAAAGAAGAGGUCUUAUGAGCAUAUGAAGAGAUAGCAACCACCCACAAGCCAAGAAAACAGCUCUCAGAAGGAAACCUACUUUGCUAGAACUCUGAUCCUGGAUGUCCCACCCUCCGGAACUGAGGCUGUUUAAGCCAUGCAGUCUAUAAUAUUUUGUUAGGGAAGCCUGAGCUGAAUAAUAUAGGAGUGAGACUCGGAAUAGAAAAGGGCUCUGCCACAAAUCCAAACUGCUGAGCAAGUGGCUUUGCUAAUUGACCCAUACUGACAUUAGUGGUAUACAUUAAGGAACCUGUGAAAUCGGAAUAUAAGUUAUGGGAAAAGACGUCAUAUGUAGAAUCACAAUAAAGACUUGUAGAGUUGGACAGAACUUCCCCUCAUUAGCCAGCUUCUGUCAAACCCAUGAUAUAAGUAGUACAGAUAAUAAUCCAUUGUCAGGUAUAAAUGGUACAUCUUUAAUUUCGCAGAAGGAGGAUUGGAGAGAGCAAGCAAGUUCCAAAAACUCGCAGCCCAGAACCUCAUGUCCUCCACCAAGCUUGCACCAAAAUUUUUCUCUCUCAUGUCACAGCUAUGGCCAUACAUAAAAUCAUGUAUGACCAGAUGACAGAAGAGGAACACCUAAAGCUUAGUUCACAGAUAAGUUGACUCCGUAAGUGGUGCAAGCCAAAAAUGUAUGCUAGUUUUACGGGAAUAUAGCUGCCACAUAUUCCCACUCAAGGGUGGGCUUGAAAGAGAAUGGUAAGGGAAAAUUCUCCUAAUGGAUAGAAUUUGGGCAUUUUACUUGGGGACCAAUCUUGUAUGAAAAUAGAAGUGGUUAGAAUAUAUACACACUCUUGACCAAAGGCUUGGUCAGGGACCUGAAAAGAGAAAGACU
rnacentral:lncRNA from 1 species